rnacentral:lncRNA from 1 species
CUUAAGGCUCUAAUAUCUUGUCUUCUGGCUAUGAGAACAGAGCAUAUGGUUUGCUUGAAGAUUCUUGUUCAACACUUAUCCAUUAAUCUGACAGCAGGAAGUGCUAAAGAGCAGAAACAGGAGUCGGUCAGACUCUCACCUCAAGUCCAAGGCAAAUACGCUUGCCCCUAAAAGACGUACUUGAUCUUCAAGUUCAGGAAAACCAGAUACAAAGCAGGACUCAAAAGGAAGCGAACUUUCACCAGUUCGCCAACUGUCGUCACCAAUCUCAUCACUCAAGAGAAACUCAUUCAGCUUUUGAACACUGCAAAAAGCAAUAAACACAGA